GACGUAGGGCGCGAGCGUUGUCCGGAUUUAUUGGGCGUAAAGAGCUCGUAGGCGGCUUGUUGCGUCGGCUGUGAAAACCCGCGGCUUAACCGUGGGCUUGCAGCCGAUACGGGCAGGCUAGAGUUCGGUAGGGGAGACUGGAAUUCCUGGUGUAGCGGUGAAAUGCGCAGAUAUCAGGAGGAACACCGGUGGCGAAGGCGGAUCUCUGGGCCGAUACUGACGCUGAGGAGCGAAAGCGUGGGGAGCGAACAGG
rnacentral:rRNA from 1 species